AUUGAACGCUGGCGGCAGGCCUAACACAUGCAAGUCGAACGGUAGCACAGAGAGCUUGCUUUCUGGGUGACGAGUGGCGGACGGGUGAGUAAUGCAUGGGGAGCUGCCCAAUCGAGGGGGAUACCAGCUGGAAACGGCUGCUAAUACCGCAUACGCCCUGAGGGGGAAAGGUGGGGACCUUCGGGCCUACCGCGAUUGGAUGCACCCAUGUGGGAUUAGCUAGUUGGUGAGGUAACGGCUCACCAAGGCGACGAUCUCUAGCUGGUCUGAGGGGAUGACCAGCCACACUGGAACUGAGACACGGUCCAGACUCCUACGGGAGGCAGCAGUGGGGAAUAGUGCACAAUGGGGGAAACCCUGCUGCAGCCAUGCCGCGUGUGUGAAGAAGGCCUUCGGGUUGUAAAGCACUUUCAGUGGGGAGGAAGGGUUGAUGUCUAAUACGCAUCAACAUUGACGUUACCCACAGAAGAAGCACCGGCUAACUCCGUGCCAGCAGCCGCCGUAA
rnacentral:rRNA from 1 species